rnacentral:ncRNA from 1 species
AAGAAGUUUUAUUCUUGCUUUGUUGUUCAGUUUUUGUUUGUUCUAUAUGUAAGUGUGUGCGUGAUUUGUUUAAUAAGCUCUAAAUGGGUUUUAUUGGAAGGCGGAAGAAGAAUAUAUCUCAUUAGUUAUUAUUGGUUGAUCAAAUAUUUUUGUAUCUAGCAAUGCAUUUUAGUUUCGGUUAAAUUUUGUGCCAGCAGCCGCGGUUAUACCUUGGAAGCGUUUGAACGAGUUUGGUAUUAAGGGUAGUUUUAUUAUUAUUUUGGUUAGUUUUUUAAAAUGGUUUCUGGGUGAAAUUUUUAUUUUUUGUUUUUCUAUUAUUAAAAUUUGUAGGCUAUGAGAUUUUAUUUUUAAACUAGGAUUAGAUACCCUAUUAUUUUAGAAUGUUAAGUAUAUUAUACCUGAGUAGUAAUAGUUAUGUUCUUGAAACUUAAAGAAUUUGGCGGUAUUUCAUUCCGUCUAGAGGAAUCUGUCCCGUUAUCGAUAGUCCGCGUUGGACCUUACUUAUUUAAUUUGGUUUGUAUACCGCCGUUUAUUGAUUAUCUUUUUAGGGUUGUAUUAAUUUUCUGGUUUCUUUAUUUUGAUAUAUUUCAGGUCAAGGUGCAGCUUGAUAUUUAAGUGGAAUGAUGGAUUACAUUGUUAUUUGUUUUAUUGGAUUGUUAAUUUUAAUAUUGGCAUGAAAUUGGAUUUGGUUGUAAUAAUUUGUAGAUUGUUGUUAUGAUAAUGGUUCUGGAAUAUGUACACAUCGCCCGUCGCUCUCGUUUAAAUUUAUAAUGAGAUAAGUCGUAACAAAGUGGUUGUACCGGAAGGUGUGGCUAGAUUGAU